AUCGCUCGUAAAGAACAGAAUCGGGGCGGCUAGAUCGAGAUAAAUAAGAUUCUAUCUUAUUACGCCAUUGGCGAUGGUUGCGACCUUGCAUACCCCAGCCGAUGUUGUGAAGGGUACAUCCCUGUAACAGGCCACCAGUGCUGAAUCUGUAUGCAAAUCUGCCUGCACCUUCUCCCACACCUUGCUCUUUGCACUUGAUAUGCUUUCUGGUUCAUUGGAGUAUCCAGGGAAAGUCACUGGUUCGCCCACUGCAGCUGCCGCAGGCGGAUCAACCAAUUCCAUCUGCAAGCCAUCGUCAGGACGAUGGCAUGAGAUUUAAUGCCAUGCAUUGUUGCUGGUUUCAAGUUGCAAAGAACACAAACCUUGCGGUUCUGCAAUUUUUGGAAGAUAAGAUCACACAUUCAAUAAAGGGUGCAGGGUAAAAAGUAGUAUUAGACCUCCAAUUGUUGAAGGGGAAUGCACUUGGCUAGUCCACUAACUACUGUUCUUGUUGAUUCCUCGCCCACAUAAAUUUCUUCCACGUAAAGGUUGUCAGCAUCCGGAUGUAUCUGAGCUUUUCUUAUGAUGCCCACUCGGAUGUCGAGUUUUGAAAUGGAUGAAUCAGCUUCUGCAGCCUCUGCCUUUGUCUUGUGACCUGAUUUGCUUUGGUGUUUCUUUGCACUAGUUUCUGCAAAAUAACAGAAAACUAGAUAGUUAUUUCAUAUCAAAUCAUUUUCCUAGUCAUUAAAUAGAUAAACAAUACAGAGACUAUUGGAGUGUGUAUGAUCAUUGAUUCAAAGCUAUGAGUUACUUUGUGUCGGGAAAAAGGAUGUUUGAAAACCUGUUAUAUUGGUGUUCUUUAA